rnacentral:lncRNA from 1 species
GCCCACCAUCACGGACCAGAUCCGCCUGUGGGAGCUGGAGCGCGACCGGCUGCGCUUCUCCGAGGGGGUGCUGUACAACCAGUUCCUGUCGCAGGUGGACUUCGAGGUGCUGCGGGACCACGCGCGGGCGCUGGGCGUGCUGGUGUUCGAGAACCCCGGGCGGCGCCUCAUGGUGGUGACGCCCGGCGGCCACCCCGACGUCAAGCGCUUCUGGAAGCGCCAGAAGCACAGCGCCUAGCGCCGCCCCCUUCCUCCUCCCUCCUCCUCCUCCUCAUCUUCCUCCUCCUCCUUCCUCCUCCUUCCUCCUCCUCAUCUUCCUCGUCCUCCUUCCUCCUCCUCAUCUUCCUCGUCCUCCUUCCUCCUCCUUCCUCCUCCUCAUCUUCCUCGUCCUCCUUCCUCCUCCUCCCCCGGCGCCCCCCAUCCCCGCGGGACUCUGACCCCCCCCCGGUGCUCAGGUGUCCCCGUCCCUGGGUGCUCUCAUCCCUGGGUGCCCAGGUAUCCCCAUCCCUGGGUGAUCAGGUAUCCCGAUGCUUGGGUGCUCCAAACCCUGGAUGCCCAGGUAUCCCCAUCCCUGGGUGCCCCGAUCCCUGGGUGAUCAGGUAUCCCGAUCCCUGGGUGCCCUGAUCCCCAGGCAAUCAGGUAUCCCAAUCCCUGGGUGCCCCGAUCCCUGAGUGCCCAGAUGACCUGAUGCCUGGGUGCCCCGAUCCCUGGGUGCCCCGAUCCCUGGGUGCCCCGAUCCCUGGGUGAUCAGGUAUCCCAAUGCCUGGGUGCCCUGAUCCCUGAGUGAUUAGGUAUCCCGAUCCCUGGGCACCCUGAUCCCCAGGUGCCCUGAUCCCUGGGCGAUCAGGUAUCCCGAUCCCCAGGUGCCCUGAUCCCUGGGCAAUCAGGUAUCCUGAUCCCUGGAUGCCCCAAUCCCUGGGUGCCCCAAUCCCUGGGUGAUCAGGUAUCCCAAUGCCUAGGUGCUCCAAUCCCUGGGCACCCAGAUGCCCCGAUCCCUGGGUGACCAGGUACCCCGAUGCCUGCAUGCCCCAAACCUUGGGUGUCCCGAUCCCCGAGUGAUCAGGUACCCCAAUCCCUGGGUGCCCUGAUCCCUGGGUGCUCAGGUGCCUCGAUCCCGGGCUGCCCUGAUCCUUGGGUGUCCCUGAUCCCAGGGUGCCCCCACCCCAGGAUGACCCGAUCCUUGGGUGCCCAGGUACCAUGAUCCGUGGGUGUCCCCGAUCCCGGGGUGUCCCAAUCCCUGGGGUGCCCCAGUGCCCUGAUCCCGGAGUGCCCAGAUGCCCUGGAUCCCGGGGGUUCCCUGACGGAUCCCAGGGCGCCCCAGCACCCGUCUCCCCAGGGCCGGGGCCGUUCCCAAAGCGGGUAUUAUUAUUUUUUAAUACAGCCCGAAUAAAGCUUUGCUUCGAGAGCCGCUGCGCCCCGGG